rnacentral:tRNA from 1 species
GGAGAGGUGGCCGAGCUGGCUGAAGGCGCCCGCCUGCUAAGUGGGUUUUCGGAGAGUAUCCGGAACGAGGGUUCGAAUCCCUCCCUCUCCGCCA